CUUUGUGUCUGAUGAAAGCAAUUCUAAACCACAGGGAAAGAAUUGCAGCGAUGCAAGAUGAACUGCAGAGAAAAGAGGCCUCCUUCCAAAAGCAGAAGGCCAUUUACAAGAAAAAGGCUCAGGACAACUGGCUCAGGGCUCAUGUUGGGAAGAGGGCAGAAGUCAAACAAAUCAGCGAGACCAACUUCUUGAAUAGAAGACUAAACCUGCCAGAAAUAUGGGCAUGGGCACAUGGGCAUGAGCAUCUGAGGAGACCUCAGGUUGUGAAUUUAGAAACUUCCUUGUGGCUUUACAAUCGUAAUGGCAUUACAUCACCACUUGCCCCAUCUGCUGGACAAAGGUGGCCAAUAAUGCAAAGUCAGAGGAUAUGACAGGAACCCAGGCUGCAAAACCCAAUGUCCGGUGGAUCUGGCAUGGACAUCCCUCCAUGGGGAGCAGACACGGGAGCCUGUGCAGUUUGCAUGAAGAACAGCAGCUCGAUGCCUCCUGAAGACCAGGACAAAGGAAAGAUCAAGGCUGACUUCAUAUUCCUUAAGAUGCAUCUUCUGUGUGAUGAUUUUCAUCUUGGUCCUGAUUGUUUUGGAAAAUUUUGGAAGCCUGUCAUCAUUGCUGCCUACUUGGGCAUUUCUGCAAUUGUCAUAUUUAUCUGGAGAGUUAUCCUUCCUGUAAAGCCUCGUGUGUAUCAAGUUAAUUUGCAACAAAUAUCUGAAAAGAUUGACAAUUUCAAGAAAGAAAACACAGAACUUGCUGAAAAAAUAACUGUUUGGGAACAGAAGGUUAAUAAAUUAAAGAGAUGUCUUCAAGGAACUAAACAUCUCAAUGAUGAGGCACAUAAACUUAAGGAUAAUAUCAAAACUUUUGAUGCAACUAUGAAAACUGUGAACAAUGUCAUUCAGGGUACACUAUCUAGGCUGGAUACUGAGAAGGAUGGAAAUGUCAAGACUCAGGGCUUGAAAAAAAGAAGGACAUGGAAGACACCUGUUCUUCCCUGAAGUCUGUGAAAGCAGCAAAGGAAGUUCAAUACAAAACACUACAAACAAAAGUAGAAAAUAUCUAUGACAUCUGGGAAGGAAGUAGGAAGCCACAGAGGAGAAAAAAACUGAAGAAAUUCAAGAACAAGUGCAGAA